CAAUGUUCUCAGGGCGGGGUGAAAUUCCCCACCGGCGGUAUCGGGAGAGAUCCCGGAGCCCGCGAGCGCUUUCGGCAACCCCGAAAGGUCAGCAGAUCCGGUGCGAUGCCGGAGCCGACGGUAUAGUCCGGAUGGAAGAGAACAAUG
rnacentral:ncRNA from 1 species